rnacentral:tRNA from 1 species
ACGGUAGCUUAGAGGUAGAGCACUCCCUUGGUAAGGGAGAGGUCGAGGGUUCAAUUCCCUCCCGUGG